rnacentral:rRNA from 1 species
UACGGGGGGAGCAAGCGUUGUUCGGAUUUACUGGGCGUAAAGGGCGCGUAGGCGGUCAGCACAAGUCAGUUGUGAAAUCUCCCGGGCUUAACUCGGAAAGGUCAACUGAUACUGUGCGACUAGAGUGCGGAAGGGGCAACUGGAAUUCUCGGUGUAGCGGUGAAAUGCGUAGAUAUCGAGAGGAACACCUGCGGCGAAGGCGGGUUGCUGGGCCGACACUGACGCUGAUGCGCGAAAGCGUGGGGAGCAAACAGG